UCCUUGGUGGCCUAGUGGUAAAAGGACCCAGCAUUGCCAUUGCUGUGUCUCAGGUUCAAUCCCUGGUCCAGGAA
rnacentral:tRNA from 1 species